UAUGGCAUAGGAUGUUAUAUCUUAUUCUACACACUGAAAUUACCGUGUAGAUAACUAUACACCUCUGACAAACUGAUGCCAAC
rfam:Picea glauca, whole genome shotgun sequence.